AGCGGAGAAUCCUAAUAUCCCCCUUCCUCCCAUCAACACAUAAAUGUAUUUCUUUUCCAACAUCGGUAAACGAAGUCCACAUACAACAUGCUAUAUUGUACGUUUUCCUAUCAAUGCGGUAAUUUUAUGGGACAUUUACUUCGUUCUGUUCCCGUUGUAUCAGUGCUGUUCCCGUCCCGAUUAAAAUAUUGGACGCGAGAUUAUCUUAAUAUUCUUUUUCGAGUUAACUUCACCGUUCGCUGGGUUUUGGGGCGACCGAAAGCCAGCGAACUGGCGUUUUCUAAUUCGCACCCGCGUCCUUGGGACGAGAGAAAACGGCAUUCUCGAAAUUUGAGCGCGAUGAACUUCUUCCACGUUUAUAUACCCAAUUUCAAAAAAGUUCGCCUGACAGAAGAAAUCUACUGUCUGGUCAGCGGGGUUGCGAAAUGAUCUCAAAAUAACCAGCGCUUUUUAAAUCAUGCAACGGAGGGCUAUUUGGGUGAUGUCCUUGAAGUUGAAAGACCAGAGCCAAACGGGUGGCUGUGUCGAAGAAGAAAGGAGGCGAUCUGCGAUUCUGCAUACUCCCCAUUUCUGGAGGAAUGACAGCCGGCUGAGCGGAGAGAACAAUAUAGCAAGUUGUAUAAACUGCCUUUAGUCCCCAUAUAACACGCUUCAUCGAUGUUGUGCUAACAGCUUAAUGUACAGUAUGCAGCUUCUUUUUAUUGCCACCUAGUGGUGGCCAUCGGAACUAGUUUUCCGGCCUCUAGGCAUUGCCUCUGUUGGCUUUCCUCUCCCUUGUUUGUCCUUCCGCAUCUGAGAGGCAGUCAGAUCUCUGACCAAAACAAGCAAAUCUAUUCAGCCAGGAGAAGGAUUGAUCAACGAUCAAUGAAAAAGUAAUGGAAAGGAGAGGAAGGAAGGAAGUGCGCAAUAUUUCAUGAACCCAUGUAUCAGCAAUGUACUGGAAUACACAGAUAUUUGCUGUCACCUCAGCCAGAACAUUUGCGAUGGAGUUGUUGCUGUUCCCUGAACUGGUUAUUUAUUUUCACGUCUCAUUACCCAACUAGAUAAUAUCAUCAGUGGAAUCCUGGGCAAAAUGUUGCCAAACCGGUCAGCAAGUCGAGAAGCAGCCAAGUUUUGAUGAAUGCUGUGGCAGACAAAGCGCCUGGGACAUAUGGAUCCAUUCCCUGUGGAACAGAUUAAUUAAAUUGUAUGAAACUGGCACUAGGGUUCCUUAGACUGGGCCGGCACUCCUGGCCUCAUAGGAAGUUUUUGGGUGAGCCUUUUUUCAACCAUUGAAAAUGAAGACAAAGCCUCUUCCAAACUGAGCUUAAUGCCUGCUGAGGCUUUUACACCACAAAUGCUAAAAACAGAGGGUGCAUUUUUCACCUGUUACAAAUUAGAAGUAAAAAUACUAUCCUUCGAGGUGAA